AAUCUACUCUGAAAUAGAUUCCCAUUAUCUUCUGUAAUAAACAAGAAGGUGGUUUUUGCUACUAACUUCUCCUUGCUAACAACAGCAUCAACAAGGAACCAGCACAUCCCCAGAGUUCUGGGGAGCUCCUAUUCUACCCACUUCUAUCACUGGCUCCCCUCCAAAGAGGAUCUGAUCAUCUGACUGGUAGGUACCUGAAGCAUUUCUUGGGUUACACUUUACUAAU
rnacentral:lncRNA from 1 species